UACGCAGUGCACAGCUGAUCAGUGGUCUUAGCGGACGGUCGCCGCUUGUUCGUGCUUUAAAAUAUUGGAAAACGACAGAAAAGUUACUGUUAUCCGCGUGUCUAUACGGUGGCAGUUGAAAUUUCACUUUGCAGCAAAUGAAUAAAAUCGCGACGUUUACCAAGUGUCUUUAUCGAGUGCUGGAAGUGAGCUGUUAACUGAUUCCUCGUUCGUUGGACGUUUCCAAUGGUUGCCGUCCGGAGGAAGAGGAAUCGUUUGGCAGAGUGUGACGUUCGAGCAAAGUUGUUGGAAGGUUUUCGAACCAUGGCGAAACUAGGAUGAAAGAAUCGGACAGUUGAAAGAGUAAUAAUAAAGAGUUGAAAAUUACUGGAAAUGCGUGAAAAUUGCCGUGGAAUUUACUUUUGCCCGUAUUGCCAGGAGUAGACGAAAACGGCCACGCUGUGUCUCCUGGGUAUUUCAUGACACAAAUAUCUUCCCGGCAUGUUGGAAUUCCGCUUUUCCUUUUUCGCCUGUCCCGACGAACGGCGUUCUCGCCGUCGCCCCCUCCCCCUCCUCCUCCUCCUCCUCCUCCUCCUCGGCCCGCUCUUAAAAUCCCGUCUGUGUCACCGAUAGAAACAUGCUGCGUGUCUGGUGCAAUUAAAAGAUGCUGCUCCUUUGCUGUCAGACCGAGGGGAAAGUAUAUUGGGUCCGCUGGCGAUAAGCGACAAGACCGCGAAACCGUCGUAUCCAUCGGAUCGAGUCUAACCGAGUAGUCGCUAAUAGCAGCAAGUAGAUUCCGUUUGGCAGAGGGAAGCGAGUUCGCCAGAGAUUUGCACAAUCCACGGCGGAACAAAUUCGAUUCGCUGUUACGUUUCCGCAUCGAGUACCUGCCCACACACACGUUUAUUUGCAUUUUCGUCAUUUGUGUGUCGAACGGCCGACACCGUUUGGCAGGCACUGCCAGUAGGACCAGUAAAAACUGCCUGUGACAGAUUCAGACGGAUACAGAGUGGCGCGAAAGUAACUUUGCAACUCUAAGUUUACAACUCUAAGUUUAUACCGUCGAAACGGAAAUACACUAGGUAGGCCUGCCAGGAGGAUGGGGGCCCACGAUGGGGGAGUGCCAUUGCUCUAACAUCGCUAUCAUGCAGCUGUUCCAUGAGCUGAAGCAGCAGUUCCCUGCGCUCCCUGAUCACGUCGUUUCCCAGUGCAUCGCCCAGAAUAGCCACGAUCGGGAGACAUGCGCGAGAAGCCUUCGUGCCACUCAAGAGUCACGUCAGUCUCCGGGCGCGUUCCCACCGGCGGCACUUUGCGCCAUCCUCCAGCAGCAGCAGCAGCAGCAGCAACAGCAACAGCAGCAACAUCAUCAACAUCAUCAACGAGCGAACCAUCUGGCCACGCAGCAGCAACGUUUCUGCACGAUGAGCCAGUUGCAACGCGCCAGCAACAGCACGAACAACAAUACGCGACCACACAGACCAGCCUCGCUGGACAUUGGUAUGGCACGGCGCUGUCCCGUUAGCUGUACACGAGCAGCCGCGAUAUCAGCCUCGUCGCCGAUAGCUGCCGACUCAGCCAGCACCCCUUCUUCAGCGCCUGCCGUCUGCACGACCGCGUCGCGCGGUUUCUUCGACGAUUGCACCGGACCGAGCGACGCGAACUGCCUUAACAAAGUCCAGAACGCGGGAAACGAGCCAGCCGGAUUCGAGCUGAACGUGAACGUUGCCUGCAGCCCUGCUGGCAAUCGCGACUUUCGAACGGUGCCUACGAUCGCUGGUGCCUGUAAACGAAGCGAUCUGCUGCUCGACCCACGGACUCAUUACGCCGAGCCGUUACUCAACGUGGAGAACACGGGCCCGCAGAUCGAUCACACUCGAAGCUACACCUCGGUUAGUCUGACGCUGAGGCCGCCAUCCUCGGAACCGCAGCCUCCGAUCGACAUCAGAUCUCAGGGCUCGAGCCUGACUUACUCGAGCUCCUCCCUGGAUCCCCGGGGCUUUCAAAGCCGUCUUCAGAUCAGCAUCGGCGCGGGAGCCGUUGGCGGUGUGGCGGCUGCGAGAAUCAGACCUCCGAUGGGCCCUAUCAGACCCAACAGCUUGAUACCGCCGGUACAAACCGGUCCUCAGAGACCACCAGUUGCAGGUCUUCCAGCAGGACCACCUAGUCAGUUACCGAGGCCCACGACGACAAUGAGCGCCCCAACCACACCUUCUGUACCAUCCACGACAAACAUCGCCCCCUCCAUUAGCCUUCCGACAACACCGUCAGGACCGACCACGACCUCGCCGCCCUCCAGUCCCAUUGGCGAACGAAUACCGGCCAAUUCCGAUCAGAACCGAUCGCCGUUGAAUCAAGUGGCGGAGCAUCAAAGGGAAUUGGUCGCCGAGCAGUUAGCAAGAAAAGAUAGACUCGCCAGGGAAUUGAGAGCCGAGAAAGGACGACUCGAAGCUAUGAAGAAAGAAUUGCAGUCCCUCACGAGGCCCUUUGAUUCUUCGAUGCCUCCUCAGGAACUGAAAAAGAAAUUGAGGAGCGAGAUCUAUCAGCUACAAGUUGAAUGCGACAGACUUGCGGAUGAGGUAGAUCAGUGGUCUGACCCAAGAGUACCUUUGGGCGAAACGAACGAAAAGUUUUAUCAGCGUAUUUACACGGGUCAGCCCCUACCAUCGAGAUCUGUCAGCGCCGACCCACCGCCUCUGCCGAGUCAGCCACCCGCCUGGCAACCGGAACCGAGCGGUAACAACGUUGAUAGAGAGGAACGAGACGGACCUUCUUGGGUCUGUAGAAUGUGCACCUUCGACAAUCAUCCAUUGAUGAAUAAAUGCGAACAGUGCGACAUGCCGAGGCUGUUGGAUCACGGAAACACAGGUACGACUUCUGGAAAAUCGAUAGACGACCUUACGGCCUCGUUAACACGCUUGAACAUCGAUUCGUCACCUCCGCCGCCGCCUCCAGCACCUCUGGGAAAAUAAAAUCCAGUACCUUAACAGCAUGUCCCUUUUUUACUAUGACGUUUUUGUCAAUUGACGAAUUUGUUUCGAACAAUGAUAUUUUGUGAAAUACCGGAUACGUACGGUCCUCUAUACUUGACUACUGUGAUCGAAUGUCUUACAAGAGGUGGCGUUUCUUAUUGUAAAAUAUUUGCUCGUGAGCGAGAAAAUUGUUUUACGACCACCGCAAGCAUUGAUGCGACAUCAAUAAAACAUGACUAUCCGACGCACUUAAACGUAACGCAUGGACGCCGUGUGCUAUCCUCUUCCUUCUUUUCUUUUCUUUUUUUUUUUUUUUAAAUAAACUCAAUUGAAUUAAACAUUCGAAUUGAUCUUAACCAAAGGCAUGUUUAAUUUAGCAUAUGUUACAGUGUCAUUUUUCCCUAAUUAUUAAUAGUUUAAUCUGUUUAAUCGUUUCGACGGGUCGGUAACCGUAAAUUGGCGAAACUCAAGAUAUUCAUAUACGAGUUACACAUCAUCACAACUUCUCUCCGAGCCGGAUAGUGCAUAGUUGGGUGGUAUGAUGUGAACUGCGUUAAAAACGUGAAAACUGUAUAUAAAAUCAUUAUUUAAGUUAAAUAAAAAGUAGCAGCCAACAGAUCGGGAAAGGAGAACCAGAAAUUUAAAUAACUCGAUUGACUUCAAUUUUUCGUUUAUUCAAGAGAUCAGUGUAUAACUCGAUUUUUGAUAACGAUGGAUUCAGGUGUAAGAUUGGAAUACAACGUACCGCAAAAUGUACCAUUCUCACUUCUGAUUACUAAAUAAUCAACGACUUAUCAGUAGUCUGACUUCUAUUUGUAUGAGUUUUGAAAUACUAUUUAAAAUACAAGAUAUUUGUAGUAAGUCCUUUA